AUCUUGCAUCCCGAACCCUUUAGUGGGUGCCAACCGAGCAGAGAAGCCACGGUGGCAAAACGAUGCGGGCAUUAUGCCAAAACAUAUUCCGAGA
rnacentral:ncRNA from 10 species